GAAAGGCUAUAUCACUGAUUGGAUGAUGACAUUUGUCAAUCAUUUCAACCAAAAGUUACUUGGCAUGAAGUGAUACUGGACAUGCUCGGUUUCUGGAAUUCAUUUUGAUUCCUAAAAGGAGGAAGAAUCCACUCUACCACUCUAAGCCAAGUGACCUGAACAAAACCAGCAUCCCUCCAACACCUGAAAGACUGCGGCACAAAGCCCUUCCUGAAGCAUCCUGCCAGUAACGGACAUUCCACCCAUUCUGGACGGAUCAAACAGAACCAGAUCUCCAGACCCCUUGAAAGGCAGAGCAAACAGGGAAAGGAGCUGAAACUGCAGGCUGCCCAGUCUGUGCAGCACAGGAACAUCAUGUAACUUGUAAUCAGACAAGCAUAACAGAAGGACCACGGAUUGGGUUGCCAACAGGAUGUUUAGGGACAAAGACUCCACCAGGUGAUGUAGACCUACAACCUCCACCCAGAUUUUGAAGCUGUCUGAUCUCCAACAAGAAACAAGAGGAAUAUUCAGCAGCUCUGACAAACACAGUCCUGUCCGGUGUUCGAAAUAAAGCAGAAGCAACGGAAUUUAUCUAAUUACUUUUUUAAUUUUAAAAUGUUACUGAAUGUUAGACGUGGUGUGUUACCAUGACUGGCCAAAUCAAAGUGACUUUCUUGUCAGAGGGACUGGGUAGGUUAACAACAUUCUUAGCAAUUAUGCUUGGCUAAGGACCGUGUCAUUUGCCAAUCAGAGCCACCGUUGUUUAAUACAUAAGUCAAGGACUUGUCCCACAAAUGCACACAAACAUCAAACAGAUGGGAGAAGCUGCAGAAAUGGCCAGUUUGGAGCAGCCCAACAAAAAGUUGUCAUUUUCUAUAUAUAGGCAAAUAUUCCUGAUUGUUUUCUCAGACUGUUAGAGUUUGAUUAAUUUAACCCUUGUGCUAUCUUAGAUGACCCCAC